AUGACUCUCGGCAACGGAUAUCUCGGCUCUCGCAUCGAUGAAGAACGUAGCGUAAUGCGAUACUUGGUGUGAAUUGCAGAAUCCCGUGAACCAUCGAGUUUUUGAACGCAAGUUGCGCCCGAAGCCGUUAGGCUGAGGGCACGUUUGCCUGGGCGUCGUA
rnacentral:rRNA from 1 species